UUCGCAAGUGCCCCCAAAAAU
rnacentral:piRNA from 1 species